ACAAAGAUUCGAGGACGAAUAAUUUAUUAGGAAGGCGAAUGACAUACCAGUAGGGAAGAGGAAAGUGAGCCAGCAAAGGGAGGACAACAAAAUCAAGCAAGUUAUCAGGACGGUUACUACUGUGGGCAGCUGGAGCCACCCGGUGUGGAGCACGCCUCUCAGAGGGACCCUGCUUGAUGGACCAGAGGGCUGGGGUGUUUGUACUCAGCCUCCUUGUGCGAUGGUUGACAGCUGCUGGGCAGAAGGGAGGGAGCAUGAAUUCUCCAGCGCCUCUAGCCUGCUUGACUCCAUCAGCCAGGAAAAAGCCCAAACUCAUGCAGAAGGAGGAAAAGAAUUGCGAGACAUAAAAAUGUCCCACUGCCAAUGCCAGAAGUUCCAGCUCUGAGCGGAGGGCCCGAGUUACCCUGGGGAUAAACGAAGAUGAG
rnacentral:lncRNA from 1 species